ACGACCGUACCGCAAACCGACACUGGUGCGCGAGAUGAGUAUUCUAAGGCGCUUGAGAGAACUCAGGAGAAGGAACUCGGCAAAUUGACACCGUAACUUCGGAAGAAGGUGUGCCUUUAGUAGGUGAAGUCCCUCGCGGAUGGAGCCCAAUGAGGUUGCAAAAAAUCGGUGGCUGCGACUGUUUAUUAAAAACACAGCACUCUGCAAACACGAAAGUGGACGUAUAGGGUGUGACGCCUGCCCGGUGCUGGAAGAUUAAAUGAUGGGGUGCAAGCUCUUGAUUGAAGUCCCAGUAAACGGCGGCCGUAACAAUAACGGUCCUAAGGUAGCGAAAUUCCUUGUCGGGUAAGUUCCGACCUGCACGAAUGGCGUAACGAUGGCCACACUGUCUCCUCCUGAGACUCAGCGAAGUUGAAAUGUUUGUGAUGAUGCAAUCUCCCCGCGGAAAGACGGAAAGACCCCAUGAACCUUUACUGUAGCUUUGUAUUGGAUUUUGAACAGAUCUGUGUAGGAUAGGUGGGAGGCUUUGAAGCAGGGUCGCUAGAUCUUGUGGAGCCAACGUUGAAAUACCACCCUGGUGUGUUUGAGGUUCUAACCUAGGCCCGUAAUCCGGGUUGGGGACAGUGCAUGGUAGGCAGUUUGACUGGGGCGGUCUCCUCCCAAAGUGUAACGGAGGAGUUCGAAGGUACGCUAGUUACGGUCGGACAUCGUGACGAUAGUGCAAUGGCAUAAGCGUGCUUAACUGCGAGACUGACAAGUCGAGCAGAUGCGAAAGCAGGACAUAGUGAUCCGGUGGUUCUGUAUGGAAGGGCCAUCGCUCAACGGAUAAAAGGUACUCUCUGGAUAACAGGCUGAUACCGCCCAAGAGUUCAUAUCGACGGCGGUGUUUGGCACCUCGAUGUCGGCUCAUCUCAUCCUGGGGCUGUAGCCGGUCCCAAGGGUAUGGCUGUUCGCCAUUUAAAGAGGUACGUGAGCUGGGUUUAAAACGUCGUGAGACAGUUUGGUCCCUAUCUUCCGUGGGCGCUGCAGAUUUGAGGAAGCCUGCUCCUAGUACGAGAGGACCGGAGUGGACGCACCUCUGGUGUAUCGGUUGUCACGCCAGUGGCAUUGCCGAGUAGCUAUGUGCGGAAGAGAUAACCGCUGAAAGCAUCUAAGCGGGAAACUCGUUUCAAGAUGAGAUCUGCCGGGGCCUUGAGCCCCCUGAAGAGUCGUUCAAGACCAGGACGUUGAUAGGUCGGGUGUGGAAGCGCAGUAAUGCGUUAAGCUAACCGAUACUAAUUGCUCGUGCGGCUUGAUCAA
rnacentral:rRNA from 1 species